GACGAACGCUGGCGGCGUGCCUAACACAUGCAAGUCGAGCGGGGAGAAGAAUUCGUUUUUCUCUUUAGCGGCGGACGGGUGAGUAACACGUGGGUAACCUGCCUCAAAGUGGGGGAUAGCCUUCCGAAAGGAAGAUUAAUACCGCAUAAAAUCAUGGCACUGCAUGGUGCUGUGAUCAAAGGAGCAAUCCGCUUUGAGAUGGACCCGCGGCGCAUUAGCUAGUUGGUGAGGUAACGGCCCACCAAGGCGACGAUGCGUAGCCGACCUGAGAGGGUGAUCGGCCACAUUGGAACUGAGACACGGUCCAGACUCCUACGGGAGGCAGCAGUGGGGAAUAUUGCACAAUGGGGGAAACCCUGAUGCAGCAACGCCGCGUGAGUGAUGAAGGCCUUCGGGUCGUAAAGCUCUUUGAUCAGGGACGAUAAUGACGGUACCUGAAAAACAAGCCACGGCUAACUACGUGCCAGCAGCCGCGGUAAUACGUAGGUGGCGAGCGUUGUCCGGAUUUACUGGGCGUAAAGAAUGCGUAGGUGGAUAUUUAAGUGGGAUGUGAAAUCCCCGGGCUCAACCCGGGAACUGCAUACCAGACUGGAUAUCUGGAGUGCAGGAGGGGAAAGCGGAAUUCCUAGUGUAGCGGUGAAAUGCGUAGAUAUUAGGAGGAACACCAGUGGCGAAGGCGGCUUUCUGGGACUGUAACUGACACUGAGGCAUGAAAGCGUGGGGAGCAAACAGGAUUAGAUACCCUGGUAGUCCACGCCGUAAACUAUGGGUACUAGGUGUAGGGGGUAUCGACUCCCCCUGUGCCGCCGUUAACACAAUAAGUACCCCGCCUGGGGAGUACGGUCGCAAGACUAAAACUCAAAGGAAUUGACGGGGGCCCGCACAAGCAGCGGAGCAUGUGGUUUAAUUCGAAGCAACGCGAAGAACCUUACCAGGUCUUGACAUCCAACGAAUCUUAUCGAAAGAUAGGAGUGCCUCCGGGAGCGUUGAGACAGGUGGUGCAUGGUUGUCGUCAGCUCGUGUCGUGAGAUGUUGGGUUGAGUCCCGCAACGAGCGCAACCCUUGCUAUUAGUUGCUAACAGGUUAAGCUGAGCACUCUAAUGGGACUGCCGGUGACAAGCCGGAGGAAGGUGGGGAUGACGUCAACUCAUCAUGCCCUUUAUGACCUGGGCUACACACGUGCUACAAUGGAUGGUACAGAGAGCAGCGAGACCGCGAGGUGGAGCGAAUCUCAAAAAGCCAUUCUCAGUUCGGAUUGUAGUCUGCAGCUCGACUACAUGAAGUCGGAAUCGCUAGUAAUCGCGAAUCAGCAUGUCGCGGUGAAUGCGUUCCCGGGCCUUGUACACACCGCCCGUCACACCACGAAAGUCGGCAACACCCGAAGCCAGUGAGCUAACUAGUAAUAGAGGCAGCUGUCGAAGGUGGGGUUGGUGAUUGGGGUGAAGUCGUAACAAGGUA
rnacentral:rRNA from 1 species